CUGCCAUUGCCUUCGCCAUCGUCGCUGAGCUGGAAGGGAGGAAGUGUUGGCGCUACUGAGUCACCGAGAAGGGAAGGUUCGCAUGAAGAGAGAGAGCCCACGGGGAGAAGGAGGUUGUUCGUGUCCCAUCGCCGCCUGGAGCUCACCGACGAGCUGCUUCAGGGCGCCGUCCAGUCUAUAGAGCCCCAAGCUCACGUCGCUGUCGAUUCAUCCAUGAGCCGCUGUCAAGAAAACCGAUCUGCGAAGAAAGAGAGAAAAAUUUAAAGUGAGGAGGAGGGAGGACUGCCGCCGUUGAGCUAUUGCAACCCAUCGUCAUUGUUGCGUUUAUCUCCACCGAUGGGUGAGUCCGCCACGGGUGUUAAAUGCCAGGAAGAAAGGAGGUGACGGUGAGGAGGGGUGUUGUCGCUACGGUGGUCGUUGUUGCGGAUGGAGUUUGCCGUUGAGCUACCUGCGGAUGUUGGAGCUGCUUCACAACCAUCCUGGUCACCGGGUAUGAUGCGGGUGUCGCCAGAAUCACCGUCAGAGCUGCCACUUCUUUAUUCUUGGUUCCUUUCUUUCUAUGGGUUGACCUUCGGUUAUUACAUGUUGCGAUAAAAGUUGCCAUUGUUGUUGUAGAAGUGGUUUGGAGAUGUGCUUGCGGCUGUCGUUGUUGUGAGCCGAGAGAAAAAGGAAUUCUGUCACGUAGUUGAGUUGCGAUCGAGUGGGCCAAACGGACCUAAAUCGCUGACGGGUUGGACCGGACCUAAAUCGAGUCCAAGGCCCAACAUAUAUAAGGCCAUUUAAUGAGCAUUUAGCUCAUUUUUAAGCUAAAGAGAGAGUGGGCGGCGCUGAUGGUGAAGAGAAGAGAAGAGAAGGGGGAUGACACCAUUCACCUUCUCCUUGUUCAAGCCAUAACUUAAGCUACGGAGCUCCGAUUAACGAGCUGUUUAUGCCCACAUGAAGCUCUCGACGAGCUCUUCAUUUCUAUCUAGGUUUUGCUGGUGAUCGCUAGUAGCGGGUAAUUAUUGAAUUUUACCCCUAAUCUCAUUGGGUAUGUUUGAGCGUUGGUGCUUGUUGGAGUUGGCAUGGCUUUUUGGAAGCAUGUUUGGACUCAAAGUGGUGUUUUGUGCUUAUUGAGAAUCGACCAAGAUGCAGGUUGCAACCCACCAUGGGGAGUUUGCAGAUGUGGUAACAGAGCAGAGUAUGGUCUCCCUUAAGUUUUCUUUCAUUUUUACUUUUGUUGUAGUACUCUCACUUUUUCUAUAUUUAACGUUGUUGCUUUAGAGGCUGUAUUUCUGAAAAACUUUGAGGGAUAUGUUGUUACUGUUCUAAACUUUAAAACUCUGUUGUAUUCAAUUUGA